ACGUAGGGGGCGAGCGUUGUCCGGAAUUAUUGGGCGUAAAGGGUUCGUAGGCGGUUUUUUAAGUCAGGUGUCAAAGACAUAGGCUCAACCUGUGUAAGCACUUGAAACUGGAAGACUUGAGUGAAGGAGAGGAAAGUGGAAUUCCUAGUGUAGCGGUGAAAUGCGUAGAUAUUAGGAGGAAUACCAGUGGCGAAGGCGACUUUCUGGACUUAUACUGACGCUGAGGAACGAAAGCGUGGGGAGCAAACAG
rnacentral:rRNA from 1 species